rnacentral:rRNA from 1 species
AACGAACGCUGGCGGCAUGCCUAACACAUGCAAGUCGAACGAGACCUUCGGGUCUAGUGGCGCACGGGUGCGUAACGCGUGGGAACCUUCCCUUAGGUUCGGAAUAACUCCCCGAAAGGGGUGCUAAUACCGGAUAAUGUCUUCGGACCAAAGAUUUAUCGCCUUUGGAUGGGCCCGCGUUGGAUUAGCUCGUUGGUAGGGUAAAAGCCUACCAAGGCGACGAUCCAUAGCUUGUCUGAGAGGAUGAUCAGCCACACUGGGACUGAGACACGGCCCAGACUGCUACGGGCGGCAGCAGUGGGGAAUAUUGGAGAAUGGGCGAGAGCCUGAUCCAGCAAUGCCGGGUGAGUGAUGAAGGCCUUAGGGUUGUAAAGCUCUUUUACCCGGGAUGAUAAUGACAGUACCGGGAGAAUAAGCUCCGGCUAACUCCGUG